rnacentral:rRNA from 1 species
CCUACGUGAGGCAGCAGUGAGGAAUAUUGGUCAAUGGGCGCGAGCCUGAACCAGCCAAGUAGCGUGAAGGAUGACUGCCCUACGGGUUGUAAACUUCUUUUAUAAGGGAAUAAAGUGAGGCACGUGUGCCUUUUUGUAUGUAUUUUAUGAAUAAGGAUCGGCUAACUCCGUGCCAGCAGCCGCGGGAAUACGGUGGGUCCGAGCGUUAUCCGGAUUUAUUGGGUUUAAAGGGAGCGUAGAUGGGUUGUUAAGUCGGUUGGGAAAGUUUGCGGCUCAACCGUAAAAUUGCAAUUGAUACUGGCAGCCUUGAGUACAGUUGAGGUAGGCGGAAUUCGUGGUGUAGCGGUGAAAUGCUUAGAUAUCACGAAGAACUCCGAUUGCGAAGGCAGCCUACUAAACUGCCACUGACAUUGAUGCUCGAAAGUGUGGGUAUCAAACAGGAUUAGAUACCCUAGUAGUC